AGAGUUUGAUCCUGGCUCAGAUUGAACGCUGGCGGCAUGCCUUACACAUGCAAGUCGAACGGCAGCGCGGGGCAACCUGGCGGCGAGUGGCGAACGGGUGAGUAAUAUAUCGGAACGUACCCUGGAGUGGGGGAUAACGUAGCGAAAGUUACGCUAAUACCGCAUACGAUCUAAGGAUGAAAGUGGGGGAUCGCAAGACCUCAUGCUCCUGGAGCGGCCGAUAUCUGAUUAGCUAGUUGGCGGGGUAAAAGCCCACCAAGGCAACGAUCAGUAGCUGGUCUGAGAGGACGACCAGCCACACUGGAACUGAGACACGGUCCAGACUCCUACGGGAGGCAGCAGUGGGGAAUUUUGGACAAUGGGCGCAAGCCUGAUCCAGCAAUGCCGCGUGAGUGAAGAAGGCCUUCGGGUUGUAAAGCUCUUUUGUCAGGGAAGAAACGGUGGGGGC
rnacentral:rRNA from 1 species